AACGAACGCUGGCGGCGUGCCUAACACAUGCAAGUCGAACGAGACCUUCGGGUCUAGUGGCGCACGGGUGCGUAACGCGUGGGAACCUGCCUUUAGGUUCGGAAUAACUCAGAGAAAUUUGAGCUAAUACCGGAUAAUGUCUUCGGACCAAAGAUUUAUCGCCUUUAGAUGGGCCCGCGUAAGAUUAGCUAGUUGGUGGGGUAAAGGCCUACCAAGGCGACGAUCUUUAGCUGGUCUGAGAGGAUGAUCAGCCACACUGGGACUGAGACACGGCCCAGACUCCUACGGGAGGCAGCAGUGGGGAAUAUUGGACAAUGGGCGAAAGCCUGAUCCAGCAAUGCCGCGUGAGUGAUGAAGGCCUUAGGGUUGUAAAGCUCUUUUACCCGAGAUGAUAAUGACAGUAUCGGGAGAAUAAGCUCCGGCUAACUCCGUGCCAGCAGCCGCGGU
rnacentral:rRNA from 1 species